GUAGAAUUUGCAAAAUUAUCAUCUACUUUCAUAAUCAGAAUAAUCUUCAACACUGACCUAAAAACUCCCUUUAUCUGUCAGAACAGCCUAAACUAUGCUGUGACUGUGGCUUCUUAGACCUUAAAAUCAUGCUAUGUUGGGACAUUUUUCACAUACAGGUCAUACUCAUUAUGCCCUCAAUAUAAAUAUUGUUAGAAUUUUCACACUAAAACCACAUGAGAGUUUUUGAACAUGAGAAAUAAAUGUUGUCUUGGUUGAGAUGCUUAACUCUUUGGUAAAUAAGCAAUAUAAGCUAGCAGCAACUAAUAAGUCCCAAAUUCCAAUAUUUAUUCUUUUUCUGGUGCUUCAUGUCCAUUAAAAGUUAUCUGGCGUUUCUGCAUUGCAUCUACUUCAUUCCAGGAACCAGAGGCACAGGGAAGUUACCACCUCCCAGAUACACCAGAGGCAGGAGGGAAGUUCUCAAGACAGCUAAACACCCCUCCUAACCUACUCAACAAGGAUUCUGUUCCCCAAUUACUAUGUCAGUGGGUGUUUUUGUCACACCAUCACAAAAUCCUCAUACACUAGGUGGUUGUCCUACAAUUCAGCUCAGUUCUGACACUACCUGGAGAUAAGCUCAGAUUCCAAUAGUGCACUGUGGCAAAAACUGAUCUAAGACAGAUUUCUUCAGUUCCUGCUUUGUUUUCACAGAAUCUUUAUAUAGCAGCAUUUAGCUGCUGCAGCUAGACAAAUCUCACAGUGAGCAGAUUCCCAUCUUUAAAAUGGGAUGACUUCAACAGAGUCCAAGAAUGGGUGAUGGAGACAGACUCAACUGCAAAGAGGCAGAGCCCUGUCCACAUCUUUGGUAGACCAGAGUGACUCCCAGGGUGACUCCCAGGCUGUGGAGUGCUCAGCAGAACCUUUCCCUGCUGCCUGAAAGAGACAGUUUUGGAGAUGGGGCUGAGAGCAGGACUCUGCUUGGUUCUCUCAAGCCCUGGCUGAACCCCAAGGGAUCAGGGCUAGCUGUUUUUUCAGUCUGGGGAGGUUAAGUGUCAGGCUGCAAAUGAAAAGGAAGCCACAACCACGCCUAUGCCCUCCUGUUUACAAGUAUUUGGUUUCCUUUUCAACCCCUACUCCCAGCACAGGAAGAAGAAAAGCAACUGAAUACCAGAAAACAGAACUGAAAGCCAAAAGCAGGGGAAGGUAGAGGGGAGGAGUAGGGGGAGGGGGACAGCUGUGGUCGCACAGGCCUUGUUGCAGCCUGGUCCCCCAUGCCGGCUGCAGGAGCCUCCUUCCCUUUGGGGCUGCGGUGUCCCAUGAAACCUCCCCCAGAGAAUGAGGCCAGGAACCCAAGGAAAUGUGGGGCAGGUUGGGGGUGGGGAUGAGGGUAAGUGUGCCAGGAGGACUCCAGAGCCUGGAGGCGCCUGAGGCCACCGGCCUGGGGGAGGAAAAGAGCGUUCUGCAUCUCUCUGCAUUUUCAUUUGAGCUUCUAGUUAUAGCAAAGGAGGAACCAUCACCAUCAGAGCCAAAAACAAUGGGGAAGAGGUGACUUCUCAGGGACUUGCCCAGGGUAUGAUCUUGCCAGGGACUUCCCAGCAGCCUGAGCAUGUGCCCGGGCCAGGCCAUUGCGGAAUCUGACCAGAUGCCUCCCAGAGCCCCUGACUUGCGCCCUUCAGCACAGUUUCAGAACUUUAGUGGGGGUGAGGAGAGUGGGGGAUUACCCAGGACCCCUCGCCCCACGGGUCUGGGGUUUAAGAAUUCUGGAAAGGCUGCCCCAGGGAAAGGGGUUUCCCUAGUGUUCUAGUUCAGGGUCCCUCCCUCUUUUGUAUCUCAGCCCCCUCACCUCUCAACCUCUUUGCCUUGUCUGGGGUGAGAAUCUGUAAAUGCUGGGCCCUCAAAAAGCAUUGGAAUUUUAAUUGGAAGGCAGAGAUCCAUUUGGAACUGGCCUGAGCCCUCCUUUGUGUGUGUGUGUGUGCCUGGAACACAAAUGCUCUAAUUUGGGGGGUGAGCCUUGUGUUUAAACUGGGUCUGACGAUCCUCAAGUUCUCUGAGGCUGAGGAGGGGUGUGUUUUAAAAAAUAACCUGUUUUUUUUUCUAGGUGUCAUAGUAGCUAGGUUAGUGCCACGGUUUUCAGAACAUAUUUCUCUUUGUUAUAGUUUUCAUGGUGUUAACCAAACUCAGGUUCAGUGCCGCUUGUGCACGGAAGAGCCCAGAACACGAGAGUGACAAGGGUUGGUGAGGAGAAAAGCCCCUUUAUUCUAGAUGCCAGCAGCUAAAGAAGAUGGCAGACAUUUCUAAAACACCACCUUUCCUGAGGCCAACUGAUUCAGAGGCUUUAAAGGCAGCAAUUAUUCCAAAUUGGAAAAUUCCUUAGGGAGAAAAAAAAUUCAGUUUCUCUUUUCUCUGGCUCUUUUGGGCAAUGGCUGUCAUUUAUGAAGCAGUAUCUUUUGUGAAAUGAGUUGGUGCUGGGAAGUUAAGGUAAAAAUCUCCAAAGAAAAUGUGAAGCAAUUACAUCUCGUAGAACAGAUGCCAAGGUGAUUUAUUGCCUCAUCAUUAUUGGGGUCCUAGUUGCAAUUGUGAUUACACUUCCUAUUGCUU